rnacentral:rRNA from 1 species
CCUACGGGUGGCAGCAGUAGGGAAUAUUGCUCAAUGGGGGAAACCCUGAAGCAGCAACGCCGCGUGGAGGAUGAAGGUUUUAGGAUUGUAAACUCCUUUUGUGAGAGAAGAUAAUGACGGUAUCUCACGAAUAAGCACCGGCUAACUCCGUGCCAGCAGCCGCGGUAACACGGAGGGUGCAAGCGUUACUCGGAAUCACUGGGCGUAAAGGGUGCGCAGGCGGGUUUGUAAGUCAGAUGUGAAAUCCUGUAGGUUAACUACAGAACUGCAUUUGAAACUAUGAGUCUAGAGUGUGGGAGAGGUAGGUGGAAUUCUUGGUGUAGGGGUAAAAUCCGUAGAUAUCAAGAGGAAUACUCAUUGCGAAGGCGACCUACUGGAACAUUACUGACGCUCAUGCACGAAAGCGUGGGGAGCAAACAGGAUUAGAUACCCGUGUAGUC